UCCCAGUGAUGAAAGCUCUCACGUCUUACUGUCUGACUGGCACCAGAACCUGCAAAGGUUGAACCCACUGGUGCCAACAGACGGAAAAGAGGAUGGUCUGCUUCAGAAGGAGCCGUCUGAUGGGGAC